ACCUCGCCAAGACACACCGCCUCA
rnacentral:siRNA from 1 species